GAGCCCGUGGUUCAAUGGUUAGAAAGUUUGACUUCUAAUCAACAGUUCACGGGUUCC
rnacentral:tRNA from 1 species